UGGUGGAAUUUUUAGGGUCACUUAUAU
rnacentral:piRNA from 1 species